rnacentral:miRNA from 1 species
AAGUGCCUCUGUCUUUCGACA